rnacentral:rRNA from 1 species
UACGUAGGGUGCAAGCGUUAAUCGGAAUUACUGGGCGUAAAGCGUGCGCAGGCGGUUCGGAAAGAAAGAUGUGAAAUCCCAGAGCUUAACUUUGGAACUGCAUUUUUAACUACCGGGCUAGAGUGUGUCAGAGGGAGGUGGAAUUCCGCGUGUAGCAGUGAAAUGCGUAGAUAUGCGGAGGAACACCGAUGGCGAAGGCAGCCCCCUGGGAUAACACUGACGCUCAUGCACGAAAGCGUGGGGAGCAAACAGG